UCUACAAUUACCAGUGUGGCUACUAAACAAGGUCGUCACCUAGCAUCUCACCGGAGAACCCUUCGUUCCACCAGCAUGCCGAAGAGAGCUGCCAUCCUCCUCCUGCUCACCGCGAGCAUGCUCAUUGGCAUGGCGGCAUCAAGGCCGGCGGCGUCGACAAUCGGUGCCGCUCCCCUUCUCCCCGAGAAACUGGUGUUCGUCCCAGGGCUUGAGCACGACAGAGAACACCCCAUGCCCGUGGCACCCGGAUCAGGGAUGAUGACUGGUCGACUGGCCAACGCUGAAGAUACCGUGCUUCGUCCCUGACAACUUCGACCGUGCAGGGAGAGAGCUAGCAUGUUAAAGUGUUAAUAAGUUACGCUAUGUAUAUGCUGUGUGAUGGGGACCGGGAUGCUUGCAUGUACUCCCUCCGUUUCAUAAUUCUCGUCUCAAAUUUGCUCAAAAAUGAAUGUAUCUAUUCCUAAAAUGUGUCUAGAUACAUGUAAGAUUUUGACAAGAAUUAUAAAACGGAGAGAGUAUGUUAUAGCCCAUAUAUAGCGGUAUAGCCAAGAAAUUAAGCCGUACUUACUUCAUGGCCUACUUGCAAAAUGUAGGAUCGAGCUGUCUGAAACUCUGAA